rnacentral:lncRNA from 10 species
CCAGGAUGGAAAACGCAGGCACAAAAACUAAACAGCCAGAAUGGAGGAGCUACUUUCAAUGGUAUCUGGAGAGUAGCAAAAGGGAGGAAGACUGAAGGCCAACAAACAACUUAGAAAUGCUCAUCAAGAACUCUGUAAUCUUUUAUCUCUCUUAAAGAGCUAUUGGCAUCUCCCCUACCUCCACCUCCACCCUCACUCUACCCUGACCUCUCUGAACUUCCCAGGUCAGAUCUGUUCCCCCCUUCUCCUCCAUGUCUACCACUCAACAGUAGUCUGACUUCAAAGACUCCACUCCCUGAUGAUUCCCUGACAGCCCCAAUGGCAGCAUCUCAUCUGGAAGAUGUGAAAAUGAGGGACCCUACAGGGACAUCUCUCAUGAUCGCCCCAUUUCAGGAACAACCGGUAACAGUGUGCUCCCAGAAGAUGAGAUGCCUCAUCAUGAUCUGCAACCCAGAGAUUUUGUCUAUUGGAAAAGACAUCUAAUAAAGGAUUCCCUUCAACCACAAUGGAAGGUCCCAUACCAGGAAGAAGUAUAAAAAUGGCUCUGGAGAUUACCAUUCCCUGGUGCCCACAUCCUGUAUUAUGCCCUCUGAUAUGGUUUGAAUCUGUGUCCCUGCACAAAUCUCAUUCAAAUGAUAAUUCCCAAUGUUGGAUGUGGGGCCUGGUGGGAGGUGACUGUGUCAUGGGGGCAGUUUCUCAUGGUUUAACACAUUCCCCCUUGGUGCUGUAUAGUGAUAGUGAGUUCUCAUGAGAUCUGUUAUUCAAAAGUGUGUAGCUUCCCCCCACUCUCUCUCUUGCUCCUGCUCUCACCAUGUGAAAUGCCUUGCUCCCCUUUGCCUUCUGCAAAGUGACUGUAAGUUUCCUGAGGCAUCCCCAGAAGCUAAGAAGAUGCCAGAAUCAUGCUUUCUGUACAGUCUGCAGAACCAUGAGCAAAUUAAACCUCUUUUCUUUAUAAAUUACCCAGUCUCAGGUAUUUCUUUAUAGCAAUGCAAAAACAGACUAAUACAGAAAAUUGGUACCAAGGAAUAGGGCAUUACAACUGAAAUGUGGAAGCAACUUUGAGCCUGGGUAACAGUCAGAGGUUGAAAAAGUGUGGAGGGCUCAGAAAUAGGAAGAUGGGGGAAAAUUUGGGAUUUGAUAUGGUUUGGCUCUGUAUCCCCACUUAAAUCUCAUUUUGAUUUGUAAUCCCCACAUUUCAAGAGAGGACCUGUAAUCCCCAUGUGUCAAGGGAAGGAGGUGAUAGGAUCAUGGGGGUUGUUUCCCCCAUGCUGUUUUCAUGAUAGUGAGUGAGGUCUCAUGAGAUCUGAUAAUUUUAUAAGCAUAUGGGAUUUCCUUUGCUUGCACUUCUCCCUCCUGCCACCAUGUGAAAAAAAUUCUUGUUUCUCCUUCACCUUCUGCCAUG